rnacentral:rRNA from 1 species
AUGCCGGCUCGCGGUGUGCAGAGAGCUUCCAGAGCGACGGCCUUGAACAUGACGAUCCCGGAACUGGCGGCCAUGUCGACCUCUUCAUCCCCGACCCUUUUCCAAUCGAAGCACUGGAUGAGCGUGCCAAGAACCAUACCCAUGGUCCUCAUGGCGAGGCUCUCCCCGGGGCACUUGCGCCUUCCCAUCCCGAAGGACAUCAUGAGCUUCCCCUCGGCGCCGCCAUGCUCGAACCUCUCCGGCCUGAACUCCUCGGGCGCCGGUCCCCACUCAGCCGGGUCGCGGUGGAUGGCGUACGCGUUGACGAGCACGAUGGUGCCCGCGGCGACGUCGUACCCGUGGAGCUGGCAGUCGGCGGCGGCCUCGUGUGGUAGCAGCAGCGGCGCGGCCGGGCACAGCCGCAUCGUCUCAUUGAUGAUGCAGUGGAGGUAA